CAAUAUGGUUGCAUCAAUUCUACUACAUUUUUGGUUUCUUAUUCAUUGUCUUUAUCAUCCUGAUAAUCACUUGUGCCGAGAUCACAAUUGUGCUUUGCUACUUCCAGCUGUGCAGUGAGGACUACCUCUGGUGGUGGAGGUCAUACCUGACUUCAGGUUCCUCUGCGCUUUAUCUGUUCCUUUAUGCUGCUUUCUACUUCUUCACAAAGCUUGAAAUUACAAAGCCAGUUUCUGGGUUGCUGUACUUUGGGUACAUGCUGAUUGUCUCAUAUGCUUUCUUUGUGCUGACUGGUACCAUUGGCUUUUAUGCCUGUUUCUGGUUUACCAGGCUCAUCUACUCA
rnacentral:misc_RNA from 1 species